UACGGGGGGAGCAAGCGUUGUUCGGAUUUACUGGGCGUAAAGGGCGCGUAGGCGGUCGCGCAAGUCGGAUGUGAAAUCUCAGGGCUCAACCCUGAAACUGCAUUCGAUACUGCGCGGCUAGAGUGCUGGAGGGGAGACUGGAAUUUACGGUGUAGCAGUGAAAUGCGUAGAUAUCGUAAGGAAGACCAGUGGCGAAGGCGAGUCUCUGGACAGCAACUGACGCUGAGGCACGAAGGCCAGGGGAGCAAACGGG
rnacentral:rRNA from 1 species